rnacentral:other from 1 species
UUUCCCCUGCGGUGUUCGUUAGGGCCAAAUACUCCUUGAACCAAUGUCUACGCGACAUGGUUGUUGGCCCACCCCCCCGCUGUUGUGAGCGCCCUUUUUCGGGCGCACCUGAUGCGGCCGGGCGACGACCCCCUGAACUCCGGUUCAGGAUGACGGCCUGACGACACUGGCGGGGAAUCC